CCUACGGGAGGCAGCAGUGAGGAAUAUUGGUCAAUGGACGCAAGUCUGAACCAGCCAUGCAGCGUGCAGGAAGACUGCUCUAUGAGUUGUAAACUGCUUUUGUACGAGGAUAAAUCGCGAUACGUGUAUCGGUUUGAAAGUAUUGUACGAAUAAGGAUCGGCUAACUCCGUGCCAGCAGCCGCGGUAAUACGGAGGAUUCAAGCGUUAUCCGGAUUUAUUGGGUUUAAAGGGUGCGUAGGUGGUUUGUUAAGUUAGUGGUGAAAUCCCGGGGCUCAACUCCGGCACUGCCUCUGAUACUGUCGGUCUAGAGUUUAGUUGCGGUAGGCGGAAUGUAUGGUGUAGCGGUGAAAUGCAUAGAGAUCAUACAGAACACCGAUUGCGAAGGCAGCUUACCAAACUACGACUGACAUUGAUGCACGAAAGCGUGGGGAGCAAACAGGAUUAGAUACCCUUGUAGUC
rnacentral:rRNA from 1 species